rnacentral:rRNA from 1 species
UACGUAGGGUGCGAGCGUUAAUCGGAAUUACUGGGCGUAAAGCGUGCGCAGGCGGUUUUUGAAGGCCGAUGUGAAAGCCCCGGGCUUAACCUGGGAAUGGCAUUUGGGACUGCAAGGCUCGAGUGCGGCAGAGGAGACUGGAAUUCCUGGCGUAGCAGUGAAAUGCGUAGAUAUCAGGAGGAAUACCGAUGGCGAAGGCAGGUCUCUGGGCUGACACUGACGCUCAUGCACGAAAGCGUGGGGAGCAAACAGG